AUUUUACUGUAGAAUGGUAAACAGGUACAUUUGUGGAGAUAAGUCAGGCCCGGGGAGAAAUUUGACCUCUAUUUGCGAUAACAUUAAAAUUUAUGCCAGUUGUGAGUUAAACGUGUAAAAGUGCGGUUGAUUCAUUUGUUUUGGUGAUAAUAUUACAAGGCAAUGGGGAUUAAUGGAACGGCAUGAGAGGCUAUGAAGAAAUUUAACCAAGCUCAACGAGGAUCUCGAUUAAUGGACUGGCAACAGCAAUUGUAUAAAUUUCUCUGUUUAGAUGAGAGAUGAAAUUGUAUAAUGUCCUUCCGGCACAUGUCAAAUGUAUUACAAUGUUGGCUCCUUUUAAAACCAAAUUAGAAAAAUUCUUCAAUCAAUGGUGCUAUACACACUGGAUGAUUUCUUUACGAAUAUCAAAAAAUGCUAGUCAUAUUUAAAAAAAAAAAAUAAAUAAAUAAAUUUUAAUAUAU